rnacentral:rRNA from 1 species
GCGGAGGAAAAGAAACCAACAGGGAUUGCCCUAGUAACGGCGAGUGAAGCGGCAACAGCUCAAAUUUGAAAUCUGGCUCUUUUAGGGUCCGAGUUGUAAUUUGCAGAGGGCGCUUUGGCGUUGGCAGCGGUCCAAGUUCCUUGGAACAGGACGUCACAGAGGGUGAGAAUCCCGUACGUGGUCGCUGGCCUUCGCCGUGUAAAGCCCCUUCGACGAGUCGAGUUGUUUGGGAAUGCAGCUCUAAAUGGGAGGUAAAUUUCUUCUAAAGCUAAAUACUGGCCAGAGACCGAUAGCGCACAAGUAGAGUGAUCGAAAGAUGAAAAGCACUUUGGAAAGAGAGUCAAAUAGCACGUGAAAUUGUUGAAAGGGAAGCGCUUGCAGCCAGACUUGCCUGUAGUUGCUCAUCCGGGCUUUUGCCCGGUGCACUCUUCUGCGGGCAGGCCAGCAUCAGUUUGGGCGGUUGGAUAAAGGUCUCUGUCGUGUACCUCUCUUCGGGGAGGCCGUAUAGGGGAGGCGUCAUACAACCAGCCUGGACUGAGGUCCGCGCAUUUGCUAGGAUGCUGGCGUAAUGGCUGUAAGCGGCCCGUCUUGAAACACGGACCAAGGAGUCUAACAUCUAUGCGAGUGUUUGGGUGUCAAGCCCGAACGCGUAAUGAAAGUGAACGGAGGUGGGAACCCUUACGGGUGCACCAUCGACCGAUCCUGAUGUCUUCGGAUGGAUUUGAGUAAGAGCAUGGCUGUUGGGACCCGAAAGAUGGUGAACUAUGCUUGAAUAGGGUGAAGCCAGAGGAAACUCUGGUGGAGGCUCGCAGCGGUUCUGACGUGCAAAUCGAUCGUCAAAUUUGGGCAUAGGGGCGAAAGACUAAUC